GAUGAAGAACGCAGCGAAAUGCGAUAAGUAAUGUGAAUUGCAGAAUUCAGUGAAUCAUCGAAUCUUUGAACGCACAUUGCGCCCCUUGGUAUUCCGAGGGGCAUGCCUGUUCGAGCGUCAUUAUAACCCUCAAGCUCAGCUUGGUGUUGGGGCCUGCUGCACUGGCAGCCCUUAAAAUCAGUGGCGGCGCCAUCUGGCUCUAAGCGUAGUAAUUCUUCUCGCUAUGGAUUCCUGGUGGAUGCUUGCCAUCAACCCCCAAUUUUUCUAUGGUUGACCUCGGAUCAGGUAGGGAUACCCGCUGAACUUAAGCAUAUCAAUAAGCGGAGGA
rnacentral:misc_RNA from 1 species